rnacentral:rRNA from 1 species
UACGUAGGUGGCAAGCGUUGUCCGGAUUUACUGGGCGUAAAGAGCGCGCAGGCGGUCGUUCAAGUCGCGUGUGAAAGCCCCCGGCUCAACUGGGGAGGGUCACGCGAUACUGAUCGACUCGAAGGCAGGAGAGGGUAGUGGAAUUCCCGGUGUAGUGGUGAAAUGCGUAGAUAAUCGGGAGGAACACCAGUGGCGAAGGCGACUACCUGGCCUGUUCUUGACGCUG